UGGCUUCUUCUCCCGGKACCGUCAGUCCCGGSGGUUAUUCACCGCCGGAAUAUUCUUUCCGGUCGAAAGAGGUUUACAAUCCGAAGACCUUCGUCCCUCACGCGGCGUCGCAUAGUCAGGGUUUCCCCCAUUGCUAAAGAUUCUCGACUGCAGCCUCCCGUAGGAGUCUGGACAGUGUCUCAGUUCCAGUGUGGCUAAACAUCCUCUCAGACUAGCUACCCGUCUUCGCCUUGGUGGGCCGUUACCUCACCAACAAGCUGAUAGGCCGCGAGCUCCUCCUUAGGUGGCAGGCCUUGCGGUCCCCGCCUUUUACUACAUCCUCAUAUGAGAUCGUAGUCAUAUCUGUCAUUACCCCAGAUUUCUCCGGGCUAUUCCAGUCCAUAAGGGUAGAUUGCUCACGUGUUACUCACCCGUUUGCCGCUAUACAGAUUCACUUGCAAGACCUUCCUUGCGGUCGGUCUUACUCAUAAAUCCGCAUCGCUCGACUUGCAUGCCUAAUCCACGCCGCCAGCGUUCACUCUGAGCCAGGAUCAAACUCUAAUCGAAUUCCCGCGGCCGCCAUGGCGGCCGGGAGCAUGCGACGUCGGGCCCAAUUCGCCCUAUAGUGAGUCGU
rnacentral:rRNA from 1 species